GGGUGAUUAGCUCAGUUGGUAGAGCAGCUGACUCUUAAUCAGCGGGUCCACGGUUCGAGCCCGUGAUCACCCA
rfam:Rhizobium sp. Root1212 contig_5, whole genome shotgun sequence.